CGCUUUGCUGGAGGUGAAUGGAUUCCAGGAGGGCAACAGAGGAGCACAGAAUGGAAGUUGAUGGCAAGAACGGUGGAGGGUGAGCAAGGUUCGCUGCUAGCCCCAAGAGUAAGACAAGCCAGGAUACUGUCAGCUGGAGUCUUGUCCGAGAGGGUGUCACUAUCAGGGAAGGAGUGUUGGGAUCAGAUGGUGAACUGGAGGAGAAUCCAGUGCACACAAGCAAUCUCAGGAGGAGCACAAAACAAGGAUUAGCCAUGCAGGAAGAGGCCACCCAAAACGUGAAGAAAUACAGCAAAUCACUUAACGACCUACAUGGAGAAUUCUGCUGUUGGUUCUCUGAUUUGGAAAAAAUUCAGCUGGUAUCCUGUCCCUUUUCACAAGAUCCUGAAACAGGAGCUGCAGUCUAACUCUGUCUUAAAGGAGAAGUUCAACUUUCUUAAACUGAAUGACUUUAAUGCUUCACAAAACCACGUUUCCAGAGUUGCGGAGGAUGGCAAAAAAGAUGCUAGUGGUGAUUGGCUUGACCUACGUGUGUGAGCAGACGUUCAGCAUCAUAAACAUCAACAAAGCAUGUCACAGAUCCAAGUUAACGGACCAACAGCUCAGGUAUAUCCUGAGAAUUGUCACAACAAAGCUAACACCAGACUUCAAUGCACUGGCAAAAAAGGGAGACCAACAACACUGUUCCCACUGAAACUGAACAUGAUUUUCUCUACUGUGUUGUGAAAAAAUGCAUUUGGAAAAUAAUUUGAACAAUAAGCAUUGCAUAUCUAUGAUUUACUGUCUAUUAAAGGCCAAAACCUUUUA